AAGAGCUAAAGCUGGACGUAGAACUUCUGUUUUCUAAUUCCUAGUUGCGUAGAUUCUCAACAGGACAUCUAAGUCUCAAGGUAUUCUUGUGACUCAAAUGGGGAAAGGUGAUAUAACUAAAAAAGCAGUUAGGCUAAUGCAAAACGAUUGGAAGGACUAGUAUACCCAAAGAGUGUUGAUGAAUGAUGCAUAAAUCUGUGGUAUCUACAAAGGAAAUCUUUAUUGGCAGGCCUCAGGGCUCUGCCCUUGACUUCCCACCAGGGAAGCCCUGUCCUUGACUUUUGUUCCUUAAAUAAGUUUAUCUUCCACUUGAAUGAAGGCAGGACACAUUUGUUAAAUUUGUGGAUGACAAAGCAGUGAGAAUAUUAGAGGACAUAAAUGUAAAAUAUCUUAACAGGCUUGAAAGGUGGACUGAAGCCAAAAGGAGAAAUUUAGUAAGAUAAAUGAAAAGUUCAGUACUUAGAGGGGAAAAUGUGAACAUUUUUAGAAUAAGGGAAGUGUAGAUCUACAGUUGGGAAAUGACCCAGGGGACAAACCCUAUGUCAGUGAUCAGUGUGAGCAGACUUCCAGAAAGGUCCACAGAAAUUUAAGCUGCACUGACAGAAGUAGAACAUUCAGGUUGACUGAAAUAGAAUACAUGAGAUAGACAAGAAAGUCUGAAAACAGCAAAGCCUGAUAUGAAUAUACAGUAAUAAAAAAGUGGAGGAACAGAGACCCAUUGUACUCUAAUCUGCUCAAACCACAUCUGCAGUAUUUGUCCCAGUUCUGGGCACACCCUUGGAGGAACUUGAGCUCCCUGGACUGUGUUCAGAAGAUGGUGAUGAAGGUAAUGAAAAAUCUCCAAACCUUGCCAGAUCAGGCAGAAAUGGUUUACCAGGGGGGAGAAAGGCAGUCAUUGAACAAAAUUUGUUUUUAUCAGCUUAAUUGGAAUAUAAUUUAUGUACACUAAAGUACAUCCACUUAGAGUGUAUGAUUUGGUGAGUUUUGACAUUUGUAUAAACCCAUGAAAACACUAGCACGAUAAAGAUGGGAACAUUUUCAUUACUCUGAAAGGAUUCCUUAUGCCUCUUUGUAGUCCAUUCUCCUUCUACCCCAAGGCUUAUGCAACCGCUGAUCUGCUUUCUGUCACUAUAGAUGAAUUAAUAUUUUCUAGAAUUGUAUAUAAAUGGAACAGAAGAGCAGAACUCUUGUGAUUGGCCUCUUGCACUCAGUCUGAAGAUUUUGAGGUUUGCACAUCUUGCUUCAUCUAUCCGUAGUUCGUUACUGGAUGGUAUGUCAUCAUAUGGAUGUACCACAUUUUGUUUAUCUAUUUAUCUGAUUUUGGACAUUUGAGUUGUUUCCAGUUUGGGGCCAUUAUGGAAAAAGCUGCUAUGUACAUUCAUGUUACAAGUUUUUGUGUGAACACAUGCUUUCAUUUCUUUUGGGUAGAUGCCUAGGAAUGGAAUGGCUGGGUCCUGUUGAACACUCAGUUCCACUAGGAACUUUAUGAACAAGAGAAACAGGUUCCUAGACUCACUUUCUAGGGGGGAAAGAGGCAGUAAAACAUGUCAACAAAUGAUAAGUUCAGAAAGUGAUAAAUGAUAUAAGGAUAGUAAAAGAGUUGCUGAAAGUGACUAAGAAGGGUUUAUCUUAACUAAAAUGAUGAAGGAAGAUCUCUCUGUAGAGCUGACAUUUAAGUUGAGCCGAGUCCCGAAUGGGACUUGGGCUCCAGAGUGUGCGGGCUCAGUAGUUGUGGCAUGUGGGAUCUUAGUUCUCCAAUGUAUGAAGCAAUUUAUGAAGGUUUGAGGGAGCACAUUCCAGGAACUGGGAACUUUAAGAGCAAAGUCCUUGAGAAAGGAUGGAGUUUGACUUAAGGAUGUAAUAGUUGUCUCCAGAGUUUCAAAAAACAAUCAGGAGGAAAAGGGAUUACAUUUAUUUUAGAGGCAUAAAUAUGACCAGCGAGCAGACAUUAGGUAGAGAAGAGCUUGGGUUCAGUUGAAACUUUUCAUAGUGGGAUGUUUGGGGGUAGGAAAAGGACCAAGUUUUAAGUCCUUUGCUGUUGUUGAAGUUUUCUUUUCAUUCUUUAUUUCUUUUUGUUGUUGUUCUUAAGACCUUUCCUACUAAUAUGAAUAACAACUACAACUAGAUGGACAUGGAACUAACUAGGGACUUUGGUCUCUAGUUAGAGACCAAAUAAGUGGUCUUACUUGACCACUUAUAAUAAGUGAAUUAUUGAGCAGAUAUAAAUCCAGCUUAAAAACUAAUUACACUGGCUUGUGGCAGCCAAGUGUUAAGAAAAAAAAGAAAAAAAAACUGCAGUAACUUGAACUAAUUUGUAAGGCAACUGAUAGAAAAAAAUAUUUCAUUUUUCUACUAAUUUUGGGCUUAACAAUAGGCACUCAGAAAACAUUCAAGUGUUCCUUGAGAGGCCAGAAAAAGAAGGAUGCAUUAUCUUCUUUCAGUUAAAUGACACCUUCUAUGGUUAGUGUACAAGGAAGUGUGAGGACAUGUUAAUAAAAAUAGAGAUAAUCCUUUAGCAUUUACCUACAUCUGUCCAUUUAAAAAUAAUAAUAGUGAUUUGAAAUUAAAUGAUAUCUACCAACAUAUUAAUGCAGAUAAAAGAUGCAGUCUUUUUGAAAAUGUAUUAGAAGACUAAAUUAUAUAAUUACUUUUAAUUAUUGUGCAAACUUAAGAACAAUAAAGGAACAGAAGAAGGAGGAGAAGGAAGGAAAGGAAGAGGAGGAAGGCAGAGAGGAGUAGAAAACCAUCUAUUUCACUGACUUAAGAAACUGCUGCUUUCAUCUUUCCAUGAUAUCCUCAGUCCUUGUCUAGAUGCUUCUGUAAUCAUCAGGUUGCAGCAGCUGAGCUACCCAGGAAAGGGCUAACCUGUCCACUCCUUGACUUGUGGUCUUGACUCCCCUUCUGGCUGCAGGGGUAGAUUUGAACCAGAGAUGAGGCCUAGAGGCAUUGGGAAGAGUCGAACAAAGAAAGAAAAAGGAAGGAUGUCAGCUGCUUUCUACCUGAUGGAUUUUCUUCACUUUCAUCACAGAUGUGUGUGGGAGUGUGGGAGUCAGGUAUUCCUGGCUGAAUAUACCUGCUCCUUGGAGCUUUCUCCAUCUACUGUGCUCCAGCCUCCUGGAUCACCAACUCUUCUAGAACUACCUGAAUUAUCACCUCCUCCCUGAAGCCUUCCCAACUUCCCCAGGCAGUAUCUGCAACUCCCUCCUCCGUGUGCUUUCUCCAGGCCUUAAUCCUAAUCCUACUGCAAGACAGAGAAUGUAUAGUACUCUUUUUUAUAUUCCCAGAACUCUCCUUACUCAAUGCCCAAUGCAUAGUAGAUGCUCAAAACGUUGAAUGAAUUAAUGAAAGAUUUGCAUUUCUUCUGUACUCCUCAUGUGUUAUACUGGCCUUCAAAUGUUGUGAAGUCACUGGGCAACACAGAGCUGUGGAUAAGAGGAGCACAGGAAACUUCCCUUUCACCGGUUUCCCUGGUUCUUCCCCUCCAGCCCUUUCCUGCUUAUCUUUCAAAUCAGCAGACCUGGGCUCCCUGGGUGGCGGUAUGCAUAAUAAAACACCUAAGCUUUGA